CAGUCGCCGCGGUAAUACGAAGGGGGCUAGCGUUGUUCGGAAUUACUGGGCGUAAAGCGCACGUAGGCGGAUAUUUAAGUCAGGGGUGAAAUCCCGCAGCUCAACUGCGGAACUGCCUUUGAUACUGGGUAUCUUGAGUAUGGAAGAGGUUAGUGGAAUUGCGAGUGUAGAGGUGAAAUUCGUAGAUAUUCGCAGGAACACCAGUGGCGAAGGCGGCUAACUGGUCCAUAACUGACGCUGAUGCACGAAAGCUAGGGGAGCAAACAGGAUUAGAUACCCCAGUAGUCCCUGUCUCUUAUAC
rnacentral:rRNA from 1 species